CCCUAGUGACUGCGAGUAGAAGCGGGAUAAGCUCAAAUUUAAAAUCUGGUAGCUUCGCUGCCCGAGUUGUAAUCUGGAGAAGUGCUUUCCGUGCUGGACCGUGUACAAGUCUCUUGGAACAGAGCGUCAUAGAGGGUGAGAAUCCUGUCUUUGACACGGACUACCAGUGCUUUGUGAUGCGCUCUCAAAGAGUCGAGUUGUUUGGGAAUGCAGCUCAAAAUGGGUGGUAAAUUCCAUCUAAAGCUAAAUAUUGGCGAGAGACCGAUAGCGAACAAGUACCGUGAGGGAAAGAUGAAAAGAACUUUGGAAAGAGAGUUAAACAGUACGUGAAAUUGCUGAAAGGGAAACGCUUGAAGUCAGUCGCGUUGGCCGGAACUCAGCCUGGCUUUGGCUUGGUGCAUUUUCUGGUUGACGGGUCAGCAUCAGUUUUGAUUGUCGGAUAAUGGUUGGGGGAAUGUGGCAUCUUCGGAUGUGUUAUAGCCCUCAGUCGCAUACGAUGGUUGGGACUGAGGAUCUCAGCACACCUUUAUGGUCGGGGUUCGCCCACGUUUGUGCUUAGGAUGCUGGCAUAAUGGCUUUAAACGACCCGUCUUGAAACACGGACCAAGGAGUCUAACAUGCAUGCGAGUGUUUGGGUGGAAAACCCGAGCGCGUAAUGAAAGUGAAAGUUGAGAUCCCUGUCGUGGGGAGCAUCGACGCCCGGACCAGACCUUCUGUGACGGCUCUGCGGUGGAGCAUGUAUGUUGGGACCCGAAAGAUGGUGAACUAUGCCUGAAUAGGGUGAAGCCAGAGGAAACUCUGGUGGAGGCUCGUAGCGAUUCUGACGUGCAAAUCGAUCGUCAAAUUUGGGUAUAGGGGCGAAAGACUAAUCGAACCAUCUAGUAGCUGGUUCCUGCCGAAGUUUCCCCAGGAUAGCAGAAACUCAUGUCAGAUUUAUGUGGUAAAGCGAAUGAUUAGAGGCCUUGGGGUCGAAACGACCUUAACCUAUUCUCAAACUUUAAAUAUGUAAGAACGGGCCGUCGCUUGAUUGGACCGCCCGGCGAUUGAGAGUUUCUAGUGGGCCAUUUUUGGUAAGCAGAACUGGCGAUGCGGGAUGACCGAACGCCGAGGUUAAAGUU
rnacentral:rRNA from 1 species